ensembl:lncRNA
AAUACUCAGAGUAGCCACAUUCAGAGUCACUUAGAUCACCUUUCUCAUAUGUUUAUAUGUCUAAAUGCUCGUCUGUACCCAAAAAUUCUUCAAUUUUUUAAAGUAAUUUUCACAUUUACACAGCUAAAGUUUAUAUAAAACUUGUGAGUUAUUGGAUGCAAAGUAUUAACAGUCAACACAAAUGAAAUGUAAUACAUAACUAAAAAUGUGAUGAACCUGAACAAAUUGUACAAACUUGAUCGUUUGUACAAUUUAUUUUGGGGUUGAGUUAUUUAUUGAUUAGUGACUGAGAGAGGCUGUCAGCUCAGCUGUAUAGCUGCAGACAGAGAAACAGUGCUCUCGGUUUGAUUUCCAUCCAGCCCUGACCUUGGAGAGCCUCACUUGGCCUCGACGUGGAAAGCUGCCCGGAGCUGCUGCGGUCUACAAAGUUCUCGUGGUGAGAGCGAGCACCGUUAAUAGACAUACCCUCCCUAACCACCAGUGGAGAAAUGAACGUUUCAAUUACAGUACGGUGCUCUGCUAAUAGCGCUUGAACCGUGCGUCCAGCUGGAUUCCAUUUGCCGCCACGCUGGGAGAUCGCUGCAAAGAUGUCACGGCCGUUCAGAAACGAACGUGCCUUGGCGGAGAGCGAGCAGCUGCUGACGAUCAGGAUUCAUGCUCGGACUGACAACUUGGGUAUUCCUUCCACUUUGGGACGGCCUGUGGUCAUAAUGUGCUUGGUGUCAGCAUUGUGGGUCUAAUUUCUGUUUUAUGUCUCCAUUUCAUAUUUCAUGGUCCUUCCUGCUGCUUUCUUUUUUUCUUUUUUUCUUUUUGCAGGAUUAGAAUCUUUAAUAAGAGGUUAUGUGAACUGGAAUUAAUUCAUCACAAAUUGUCUGUGUGAGUGUAUGUCUAAAUGUGUUUGCAAUGGCUGGGUGUGCCAAGGUCUCUCUUCGGUCACUUAACACACACGAGAUGUUUGUUAGCUGACUGUCAGUUGAGUUGGACUUCAGCUGCCAGAUCCAAACACUGUGUCUGUGUGCAUCACUCAGCUGUGUGUUGUUCAGACACCACUGCAGAAAUAUGCAUUAUUCCACCUGUCAACACACUGUAGUACGCAGCUGCACACACGCACGCACGCACACAGACACACACACACACACACACACACACACACACACACACACACACACACACACACACACACACACACACACACACACAGGUUUGCUGUAUACAUUACACAUCUGUAUAUAUUACAUAUAAUUUAAUACAUGUGAGCUAUUCUCAGCCUGUGUAACAAUGCAUUAAAGCUAUGAAUCAUUAGGUAUAUUGGAUGCAUAAAUAACGGUUAUUUAAAGUGGAAAUGACAACUGCUAAUGAAAUCCUUUUGUUUGGGUACUGCUCAUGUCCUCUGUGCCAGAGUUGAUAUCUAUCAUUGUGAGAAUGCUA